AGCUUCUCCAAUGUCUUGCCAAGAGGUGGU
rnacentral:piRNA from 1 species